CCCUUAGAUGUCCGGGGCUGCACGCGCGCUACACUGAAGGAAUCAGCGUGCUAAAACCAUUGUCGAAAGGCAUUGGUAAACCCAUUAAAAUCCUACGUGAUUGGGAUCGGGAAUUGCGAUUAUUUCCCUUGAACGAGGAAUUCCCAGUAAGUGUGGGUCAUAAGCUCGCGUUGAUUACGUCCCUGCCCUUUGUACACACCGCCCGUCGCUGCCCGGGACUGAGCCGUUUCGAGAAAAGCGGGGACUGCUGCUGUCGGGGCUUUCGGGCCUUGGCUUCGGUGGAAACCGCUUUAAUCGCAGUGGCUUGAACCGGGCAAAAGUCGUAACA
rnacentral:rRNA from 1 species